CCUACGGGAGGCAGCAGUGAGGAAUAUUGGUCAAUGGGCGCGAGCCUGAACCAGCCAAGUAGCGUGAAGGAUGACUGCCCUACGGGUUGUAAACUUCUUUUAUAAAGGAAUAAAGUGACGGUACCUUAGGAAUAAGCUCCGGCUAACUACGUGCCAGCAGCCGCGGUAAUACGUAGGGAGCGAGCGUUAUCCGGAUUUACUGGGUGUAAAGGGCGUGUAGGCGGGAUGGCAAGUCAGGCGUGAAAACUAUGGGCUCAACCCAUAGCCUGCGUUUGAAACUGUCGUUCUUGAGUGAUGGAGAGGCAAGCGGAAUUCCGUGUGUAGCGGUGAAAUGCGUAGAUAUACGGAGGAACACCAGUGGCGAAGGCGGCUUGCUGGACAUUAACUGACGCUGAGGCGCGAAAGCGUGGGGAGCAAACAGGAUUAGAUACCCGAGUAGUC
rnacentral:rRNA from 1 species